GAGUUCAUGCCCUUCGGGGUAGAUCUCCCACCCUUGUGUAUCAUUAUCAAAUGUUGCUUUGGCGGGCCGCAAGCCUGGCUUGCCCGGAUUCGCGUCCGGCGUGCCCGCCAGAGGAUCCUAAACUCUGAAUGUUAGUGUCGUCUGAGUAUUAUUAAAUAGUUAAAACUUUCAACAACGGAUCUCUUGGUUCU
rnacentral:misc_RNA from 1 species